UGGCGACCGGCGCACGGGUGCGUAACGCGUAUGCAACCUACCUUUAACAGGGGGAUAACACUGAGAAAUUGGUACUAAUACCCCAUAAUAUCAUAGAAGGCAUCUUUUAUGGUUGAAAAUUCCGAUGGUUAGAGGUGGGCAUGCGUUGUAUUAGCUAGUUGGUGGGGUAACGGCUCACCAAGGCGACGAUACAUAGGGGGACUGAGAGGUUAACCCCCCACACUGGUACUGAGACACGGACCAG
rnacentral:rRNA from 1 species